GACGAACGCUGGCGGCGUGCCUAACACAUGCAAGUCGAGCGAAGUUAUUCCUUCGGGAAUAACUUAGCGGCGGACGGGUGAGUAACACGUGGGUAACCUGCCUUAUAGGGGGGGAUAGCCUUCCGAAAGGAAGAUUAAUACCGCAUAACAUCAGGUUCUCGCAUGGGAAUUUGAUCAAAGGAGCAAUCCGCUAUAAGAUGGACCCGCGGCGCAUUAGCUAGUUGGUGAGGUAACGGCUCACCAAGGCGACGAUGCGUAGCCGACCUGAGAAGGUGAUCGGCCACAUUGGGACUGAGACACGGCCCAGACUCCUACGGGAGGCAGCAGUGGGGAAUAUUGCACAAUGGGGGAAACCCUGAUGCAGCAACGCCGCGUGAGUGAUGAAGGCCUUCGGGUUGUAAAGCUCUGUCAUUGGGGACGAUAAUGACGGUACCCAAGGAGGAAGCCACGGCUAACUACGUGCCAGCCGCCGCAGUAACAC
rnacentral:rRNA from 1 species